rnacentral:misc_RNA from 1 species
GAUGAAGAACGUAGCGAAAUGCGAUACGUAAUGUGAAUUGCAGAAUUCAGUGAAUCAUCGAAUCUUUGAACGCAUAUUGCGCUCUCUGGUAUUCCGGAGAGCAUGCUUGUUUGAGUAUCAGUAAACACCUCAACUUCCAUAUCUUUUUUGAAAUGGGAGUUGGACUUGAGUGAUCCCAACGCUUUUCCUCACCGAAAAGUGGCGGGUUACUUGAAAUGCAGGUGCAGCUGGACUUUUCUCUGAGCUAUAAGCAUAUCUAUUUAGUCUGCCUAAAAAACAGAUUAUUACCUUUGCUGCAGCUAACAUAAAGGAGAUUAGUUCUUGUGCUGACUGAUCCAGGAUUCACAAAGACGGCUUCGGCCGACUUUGUAAACUCGAUCUCAAAUCAAGUAAGACUACCCGCUGAACUUAAGCAUAUCAAUAAGCGGAGGA